AUGCAGACGGGAAGCCUGGAGGGCGGUGGAGGAAAAAAGAAAAUUUCCUGGGAGGCAGAGAAAAACAAAAUGAUGGACAUGAUCAAGAAUCAACAAGAACUGAUAGACAGAUGCAUGGAAAAAAUUGAGCUAUGGGAUGAAAAAGAACUGACUGGAGAAGAUCUUGGAGAGAAAAAUGAUUAUGAAAAAAAUACCUCACGGGAUCCACUAAUUGAAGACAACUACACUGAAACUGUGGAUUACAAUGCCAGCCAGGAUUCUGCGGAGUCUCUGGGAUCCAAAUUGGGCAUUACUGCAAAAGUAGACAAGGACAAGGAUGGACCUACUCAGAAACUUAGACAAAAAAGAUGCUAG
rnacentral:rRNA from 1 species